UGGAUCCAGACUUUGAUCCUGGCUCAGGAUGAACGCUAGCGACAGGCUUAACACAUGCAAGUCGAGGGGCAGCGGUAAGAGAGCUUGCUCUCUUAGCCGGCGACCGGCGCAUGGGUGAGUAACACGUAUGCAACCUGCCCGUGACUGGGGGAUAAGCGGGAGAAAUCCCGUCUAAUACCGCAUAACGCGCCUCGGGGACAUCCCUGGGGCGCCAAAGAUUCAUCGGUCACGGAUGGGCAUGCGUCGCAUUAGCUAGUUGGCGGGGCAACGGCCCACCAAGGCGACGAUGCGUAGGGGUUCUGAGAGGAAGGCCCCCCACACUGGUACUGAGACACGGACCAGACUCCUACGGGAGGCAGCAGUGAGGAAUAUUGGUCAAUGGGCGGGAGCCUGAACCAGCCAAGUCGCGUGAGGGAAGACGGUCUUACGGAUUGUAAACCUCUUUUGCCGGGGAGCAAAGGGCGCCACGCGUGGUGUUUCGAGAGUACCCGGAGAAAAAGCAUCGGCUAACUCCGUGCCAGCAGCCGCGGUAAUACGGAGGAUGCGAGCGUUAUCCGGAUUUAUUGGGUUUAAAGGGUGCGUAGGCGGGCCGGUAAGUCAGCGGUAAAAUAGCGGGGCUCAACCCCGCCGAGCCGUUGAAACUGCCGGUCUUGAGUGGGCGAGAAGUGCGCGGAAUGCGUGGUGUAGCGGUGAAAUGCAUAGAUAUCACGCAGAACCCCGAUUGCGAAGGCAGCGCACCGGCGCCCAACUGACGCUGAAGCACGAAAGCGUGGGGAUCGAACAGGAUUAGAUACCCUGGUAGUCCACGCAGUAAACGAUGAAUGCUAGUUGUCCGGGGCGAAUGGGCCCUGGGUGACACAGCGAAAGCGUUAAGCAUUCCACCUGGGGAGUACGCCGGCAACGGUGCAACUCAAAGGAAUUGACGGA
rnacentral:rRNA from 1 species